rnacentral:rRNA from 1 species
UACGUAGGGGGCAAGCGUUGUCCGGAUUCAUUGGGCGUAAAGAGCGUGUAGGCGGCCAGGUAGGUCGGUUGUGAAAACUGGAGGCUCAACCUUCAGACGUCGACCGAAACCAUCUGGCUAGAGUCCGGGAGAGGAGAGUGGAAUUCCUGGUGUAGCGGUGAAAUGCGUAGAUAUCUGGAGGAACACCGGUGGCGAAGGCGGCAUCCUGGACCGGUAUUGACGCUGAGGCGCGAAAGCCAGGGGAGCAAAGCGG